rnacentral:lncRNA from 1 species
CAAAGUCUUCUUCUUCACCUACAAGCGUCUUUUCACAAUAGACUUCCUAGCCCAUAAUUCUUUGUGCUAUUAUUGGAAAGCCAUGCAAAGGAAAGUUAUCUUCUUUAUUAAAACUCAAUCUUCUCUAAUCUAGGUAAGAAUGUGAAUUUUAACCCUUCCAUGCGUCUCUUCCCUUUUUUGGUUUUGCCUUGCCUAAGUAAUUUACUUGUCAAAAAGAUUGGAAGUAACUUAUAAAGGAAGUACUGGAACUAGAAGAAGUUAGACUAUGGAACAAUAAGCAAAUACUACUAAUCAGUUCUUAAUAAGUUUCGUAUAUCAUGUUUGUCCAGCCAUUCUCAAAAAAAUAUAUCAUGUUUGUCCAAUCUUUUUGUGCUUAUAAUGUUAAUAAGAUAUAGCGAAGAAGGCUUAUUUUUGUUUUUGUUUUUAGCCAUUGUGCUAGUUUUGACCUGUAUACCUUUCUAAUUGCGCUUAAACUUCGCUGUUCUGAAAUAAGUGAAUGUAAUAGUUGUGUCAAUGGAGCUAACAAAAUUAAUCUUUAGAGACCUAUUGCCUUUAAGUUUUCAAUCAAGUUAUAUUGAAACUCUGCCACAAUUUGUUACCUUGACCCCUGUCACACCCUCAUCCACAGCGCUGUUCUGUUAAUCAAUGUCACAUUGUGAGUGCUGAAUGGUUGAGGAAGGUGCUUUACAAGGAUUUUGCUGUAUAUCGCAAAAGUUUGGGCUGAGUCUUGUGAGUUCAUUUAGAAGUGGACUUGGAAUUGCUGGACGUCACUUGUUGUUGACAGGGUUAUUAAAACACAGGACAGAAGCUGUUAGAAAUGCUUUAGUAUUUGUCCAAGCAGGUCAAUGUUGUUACUUAAUGGACUUAUUUUCUCACUGACCUAUAAGUUGAAGGUUAUUUGUUAGUUAAUACGGAAAUUCAAAGGCUUUAAUAUAAUUCAGGGACCAGCUUCAAGUAUUCCAAAGAGGGAGGCCCUCAUAAGAUACAAGCAUUUGCACAAGCUUGAACAGAUUUAUUUUGGAUCAUUCAUUUACAAACACUUAUGAAUUCCUGGUCCUUAAAAUUAGUAAAUUAUGGAUUAUAUUACCUGAUUCAGGAAAUAAACAACUAGCUAAUGAAUUUUCGGUUGCCUCACCAUUCAAUUUCUUUGAGAUAUGAUGCUAACUUUUCUUUUGGAUAGGUUAUAGUAUUAAGCUUUUCUUUUUUUUUUCUUCUUCUUUUGGGCAAGUCCUUUUUUAUUGUUAAUUUGCUCCUGGUUUUUACACUCUCAGGCUUCAGUUCUGUGCUACAUCUCAGACUGAAUCUAAUCUCUGUUGUGACAACCUUAGAGACUGCUGUAUGUGAACUAGUUAAAUCGCACAUUUAAUUCGAAUCAAGGAACGGAAUGCAUUGAACAUAGAAGAAAGGACAUGAAAGCAAAAUAAUUUCUUUUUCCCAAAGGUAAGAAGCAUAAAUUAUUGCAGAAUCUAUAUGUGCUUUUAAUAUACUUAUUGAUGUCUGACUUUUGUUCAUUUUUAUAAUCGUCAUGACUAACUGAAAAAAAUUCAUCUUAUGUUUCAUGUCAGACGCCACAUGUGGCAAGUGGGCCGGUCCCGGGCUUAAACGGGCCAAGUGGGCUGGUCCAAACGGUCCUGGUCCCGGGCCGGUCCCAAAUUAAAUGGGCCAAACGGUCCCGGGCCAAAUGGUCUUUUUGUAGGGACUGGCCCGGGCUAAACGGUCCCGGCCCGCGGGCUAAGUGGGCCCAACGGAUUAAAAAAAAAAAUUAAAUAGAAAUUAGAGACAAAAG